rnacentral:piRNA from 1 species
UNGGAACUCCUAAAGGAGAGCUUAAGUAAGC